AUUGAACGCUGGCGGCAUGCUUUACACAUGCAAGUCGAACGGUAACAGGCCGCAAGGUGCUGACGAGUGGCGAACGGGUGAGUAAUGCAUCGGAACGUGCCCAGUCGUGGGGGAUAACGCAGCGAAAGCUGUGCUAAUACCGCAUACGAUCUAUGGAUGAAAGCGGGGGACCGUAAGGCCUCGCGCGAUUGGAGCGGCCGAUGUCAGAUUAGGUAGUUGGUGGGGUAAAGGCCCACCAAGCCAACGAUCUGUAGCUGGUCUGAGAGGACGACCAGCCAGACUGGGACUGAGACACGGCCCGGACUCCUACGGGAGGCAGCAGUGGGGAAUUUUGGACAAUGGGCGCAAGCCUGAUCCAGCAAUGCCGCGUGCAGGAAGAAGGCCUUCGGGUUGUAAACUGCUUUUGUACGGAACGAAACGGUCUGGGCUAAUACCUCGGGCUAAUGACGGUACCGUAAGAAUAAGCACCGGCUAACUACGUGCCAGCAGCCGCGGUAAGAC
rnacentral:rRNA from 1 species